rnacentral:rRNA from 1 species
ACGAUAUGCUUUGGGGAGCUGUAAGUAAGCUUUGAUCCAGAGAUUUCCGAAUGGGGAAACCCAGCAUGAGUUAUGUCAUGUUAUCGAUAUGUGAAUACAUAGCAUAUCAGAAGGCACACCCGGAGAACUGAAACAUCUUAGUACCCGGAGGAAGAGAAAGAAAAUUCGAUUCCCUUAGUAGCGGCGAGCGAAACGGGAAGAGCCCAAACCAACAAGCUUGCUUGUUGGGGUUGUAGGACACUCUAUACGGAGUUACAAAGGACGACAUUAGACGAAUCAUCUGGAAAGAUGAAUCAAAGAAGGUAAUAAUCCUGUAGUCGAAAAUGUUGUCUCUCUUGAGUGGAUCCUGAGUACGACGGAGCACGUGAAAUUCCGUCGGAAUCUGGGAGGACCAUCUCCUAAGGCUAAAUACUCUCUAGUGACCGAUAGUGAACCAGUACCGUGAGGGAAAGGUGAAAAGCACCCCGGAAGGGGAGUGAAAUAGAACCUGAAACCGUGUGCUUACAAGUAGUCAGAGCCCGUUAAUGGGUGAUGGCGUGCCUUUUGUAGAAUGAACCGGCGAGUUACGAUUUGAUGCAAGGUUAAGCAGUAAAUGUGGAGCCGUAGCGAAAGCGAGUCUGAAUAGGGCGUUUAGUAUUUGGUCGUAGACCCGAAACCAGGUGAUCUACCCUUGGUCAGGUUGAAGUUCAGGUAACACUGAAUGGAGGACCGAACCGACUUACGUUGAAAAGUGAGCGGAUGAACUGAGGGUAGCGGAGAAAUUCCAAUCGAACCUGGAGAUAGCUGGUUCUCUCCGAAAUAGCUUUAGGGCUAGCCUCAAGUGAUGAUUAUUGGAGGUAGAGCACUGUUUGGACGAGGGGCCCCUCUCGGGUUACCGAAUUCAGACAAACUCCGAAUGCCAAUUAAUUUAACUUGGGAGUCAGAACAUGGGUGAUAAGGUCCGUGUUCGAAAGGGAAACAGCCCAGACCACCAGCUAAGGUCCCAAAAUAUAUGUUAAGUGGAAAAGGAUGUGGCGUUGCCCAGACAACUAGGAUGUUGGCUUAGAAGCAGCCAUCAUUUAAAGAGUGCGUAAUAGCUCACUAGUCGAGUGACACUGCGCCGAAAAUGUACCGGGGCUAAACAUAUUACCGAAGCUGUGGAUUGUCCUUUGGACAAUGGUAGGAGAGCGUUCUAAGGGCGUUGAAGCAUGAUCGUAAGGACAUGUGGAGCGCUUAGAAGUGAGAAUGCCGGUGUGAGUAGCGAAAGACGGGUGAGAAUCCCGUCCACCGAUUGACUAAGGUUUCCAGAGGAAGGCUCGUCCGCUCUGGGUUAGUCGGGUCCUAAGCUGAGGCCGACAGGCGUAGGCGAUGGAUAACAGGUUGAUAUUCCUGUACCACCUAUAAUCGUUUUAAUCGAUGGGGGGACGCAGUAGGAUAGGCGAAGCGUGCGAUUGGAUUGCACGUCUAAGCAGUAAGGCUGAGUAUUAGGCAAAUCCGGUACUCGUUAAGGCUGAGCUGUGAUGGGGAGAAGACAUUGUGUCUUCGAGUCGUUGAUUUCACACUGCCGAGAAAAGCCUCUAGAUAGAAAAUAGGUGCCCGUACCGCAAACCGACACAGGUAGUCAAGAUGAGAAUUCUAAGGUGAGCGAGCGAACUCUCGUUAAGGAACUCGGCAAAAUGACCCCGUAACUUCGGGAGAAGGGGUGCUCUUUAGGGUUAACGCCCAGAAGAGCCGCAGUGAAUAGGCCCAAGCGACUGUUUAUCAAAAACACAGGUCUCUGCUAAACCGUAAGGUGAUGUAUAGGGGCUGACGCCUGCCCGGUGCUGGAAGGUUAAGAGGAGUGGUUAGCUUCUGCGAAGCUACGAAUCGAAGCCCCAGUAAACGGCGGCCGUAACUAUAACGGUCCUAAGGUAGCGAAAUUCCUUGUCGGGUAAGUUCCGACCCGCACGAAAGGCGUAACGAUUUGGGCACUGUCUCAACGAGAGACUCGGUGAAAUCAUAGUACCUGUGAAGAUGCAGGUUACCCGCGACAGGACGGAAAGACCCCGUGGAGCUUUACUGUAGCCUGAUAUUGAAAUUCGGCACAGCUUGUACAGGAUAGGUAGGAGCCUUUGAAACGUGAGCGCUAGCUUACGUGGAGGCGCUGGUGGGAUACUACCCUAGCUGUGUUGGCUUUCUAACCCGCACCACUUAUCGUGGUGGGAGACAGUGUCAGGCGGGCAGUUUGACUGGGGCGGUCGCCUCCUAAAAGGUAACGGAGGCGCUCAAAGGUUCCCUCAGAAUGGUUGGAAAUCAUUCAUAGAGUGUAAAGGCAUAAGGGAGCUUGACUGCGAGACCUACAAGUCGAGCAGGGUCGAAAGACGGACUUAGUGAUCCGGUGGUUCCGCAUGGAAGGGCCAUCGCUCAACGGAUAAAAGCUACCCCGGGGAUAACAGGCUUAUCUCCCCCAAGAGUUCACAUCGACGGGGAGGUUUGGCACCUCGAUGUCGGCUCAUCGCAUCCUGGGGCUGUAGUCGGUCCCAAGGGUUGGGCUGUUCGCCCAUUAAAGCGGUACGCGAGCUGGGUUCAGAACGUCGUGAGACAGUUCGGUCCCUAUCCGUCGUGGGCGUAGGAAAUUUGAGAGGAGCUGUCCUUAGUACGAGAGGACCGGGAUGGACAUACCUCUGGUGUACCAGUUGUCGUGCCAACGGCAUAGCUGGGUAGCUAUGUGUGGACGGGAUAAGUGCUGAAAGCAUCUAAGCAUGAAGCCCCCCUCAAGAUGAGAUUUCCCAACUUCGGUUAUAAGAUCCCUCAAAGAUGAUGAGGUUAAUAGGUUCGAGGUGGAAGNNNNNNNNAUGGUGACAUGUGGAGCUGACGAAUACUAAUCGAUCGAAGACUUAAUCAAAUU